UGUAUAAUGGGUCAGCGACUUAUAUUCUGUAGCAAGGUUAACCGAAUAGGGGAGCCGAAGGGAAACCGAGUCUUAACUGGGCGUUAAGUUGCAGGGUAUAGACCCGAAACCCGGUGAUCUAGCCAUGGGCAGGUUGAAGGUUGGGUAACACUAACUGGAGGACCGAACCGACUAAUGUUGAAAAAUUAGCGGAUGACUUGUGGCUGGGGGUGAAAGGCCAAUCAAACCGGGAGAUAGCUGGUUCUCCCCGAAAGCUAUUUAGGUAGCGCCUCGUGAAUUCAUCUCCGGGGGUAGAGCACUGUUUCGGCAAGGGGGUCAUCCCGACUUACCAACCCGAUGCAAACUGCGAAUACCGGAGAAUGUUAUCACGGGAGACACACGGCGGGUGCUAACGUCCGUCGUGAAGAGGGAAACAACCCAGACCGCCAGCUAAGGUCCCAAAGUCAUGGUUAAGUGGGAAACGAUGUGGGAAGGCCCAGACAGCCAGGAUGUUGGCUUAGAAGCAGCCAUCAUUUAAAGAAAGCGUAAUAGCUCACUGGUCGAGUCGGCCUGCGCGGAA
rnacentral:rRNA from 1 species